UUUUAAACUAAGACGAAGCUUAAGACUUUUCUAUAAAAUAGACUCAAGGGGAUAGAAUAGACUCAAGUAGAAUAAAAUGGACUUAUCUUUGACUUUUCUGUGGAAUAGACUCAAGGGAAUAGAACAGACUCAAGUAGAAUAGAAUGGACUUUUCUUUGACUUUUCUAUAGAAUAGACUCAAAGGGAUAGAACAGACUCAAGUAGAAUAGAAUGGACUUUUCUUUGGUAAAUAUUCUGACUCUGUAUUCUCCACUUAAUUGGAUGCUCGCUAUUGAUUUGUUUGGCUUUUUAACUGAAGAUUUUUAUCAAACUUUAUUUGAAAAACACCCUUGAAAUACAUGAAAGUAGAAUUAGUGAUGAAUGAGCGCAUUUAACACUUUUUAAUACUGGAUUAACCUACCUUUUUUUUUGAAAAUAAAUGCAAAAAUGGUUGUAGUU